rnacentral:lncRNA from 1 species
UUGAUUUUCUAGUUUGUUUUUUUUUUAGCUCCAGCCCAAUUUAUUAAUGUUUUCUUUCUCUCUCUUUCACAGAUGAAAACUUUAGACAAAUUUUCUCCUAAGGAUUGCUUUGGAAACAUUCUAAAAGUUUUGAGAUCAAUGGAGAAGAAGUGGAGUCCUUUUUUAAAACAUGAGAAUGAUCUUUGCUUUAAGGAUAUUUAUUUGGCAGCUGUGGGGAAGAUGUGUUGGAGAAGGAAGAGACUUGAUACAGCAUCAAUUAGAAGGCUGUGGAGAUAGUCCAGGAAUGAGUACUCUAUGCCAAAAAGCUAUUCUGUAUCUUUUGACUGGUCAACUUAAUGAGAAGAGAAGCUUUAUUUUACAUAUUUUUGCAUAUUGCUUAUUAGAAGACAGUUGGAUUUUCAUAUCUACUUCUUUAUUCAGUUUGUUGUGCUAUUCUGUUUUGGGAGGAGUAUAUGAAUAAAGACAACUGAAAAGAUUUUCAGCAUCAUGUAGACACAGCUUCAGAUCCAGCCAAGUAGACCAGAAGAGUGUUCAAAAGACUGAAUAAUUUGGGGAAAGUUGCUAUUGCCAUCCUCAUUUGGAAAAAAUGAAGAUGAAGAACAAAGGACAGCUUGUCUCAAAUAAUUUAGAAAGUCAACAGUUGGGCUGUGGAGUUGAGUAAACUAAAUUUGCAUAAUUUGGAAGUCAUUGUAUAAAAACUAUUGCCAGAAAAAAGUCCCCCAACCCCUCCUUCCUCAGGAGCUUCUUUGAAAAAAGGCCACAAUGCAAAAUUAUAAUGGGGUUAAUGGUACUUGGAGAUUAACAAGAUAAUUUUUUAUGUAAUGCUUGCAGAAACUUGUCUGCUUUCUAACCCGGUUAUCUAUUUGCUUCUGGGAAUAGUUGGAGGUGAUAUAAUUAACCUGCGAAGGCUUGUAGGGCAUAGGUUUUUCUGUGUUCCCUCGGUAGUGAAAAUUAGCCAACCAUUCCCAUUAACUGCUCUCUAGGCUGUAUUCUAAGAAACUGGAAGCUGACAGCUUGCUGUGGACAAACCUAAUUUUGGCAAUUGACAUCUCCUCCUAAUUCAGCGAAGCAUAAGCUCAUUAAUUGUCAAAAGUUGGGGCAAAGCCCAUCUUUUUAAUGAGGUCCUGUUUCCAGUGAAUAAGUAGAGGUCUGGGAAUAAAUGAGAAUUUGUAGGGGAGGAAGAGGAGGAA